rnacentral:rRNA from 1 species
CCUACGGGUGGUAGCAGUAGGGAAUCUUCCACAAUGGGCGAAAGCCUGAUGGAGCAACGCCGCGUGGGUGAAGAAGGUCUUCGGAUCGUAAAACCCUGUUGUUAGAGAAGAAAGUGCGUGAGAGUAACUGUUCCCGUAUCGACGGUAUCUAACCAGAAAGCCCCGGCUAACUACGUGCCAGCAGCCGCGGUAAUACGUAGGUGGCAAGCGUUAUCCGGAUUUAUUGGGCGUAAAGGGAACGCAGGCGGUCUUUUAAGUCUGAUGUGAAAGCCUUCGGCUUAACCGGAGUAGUGCAUUGGAAACUGGGAGACGUGAGUGCGGAAGAGGAGAGUGGAACUCCAGGUGUAGGGGUGAAAUGCGUAGAUAUAUGGAAGAACAUCAGUGGCGAAAGCGACUCUCUGGGCUGUAACUGACGCUGAGGUUCGAAAGCGUGGGUAGCAAACAGGAUUAGAUACCCUUGUAGUC